AAAUACCACAACUGGGCCGUUAGCUCGGUCUUUUACAACAGACGGCGGCUGAUUUAUUAUGUGUACACGCUGACCAGCUACCAUGUUGUGCUUCAGCCGUUCUCUUUAAUUAUCUCAGUUAAAUCUCAGCACGUUCUGGUAAUAAAUGGACGGUGGUCAAAUUGCAUCCUGGGAGAAUAAAUCUGUGAACGUGGAGCUCUUCAUGUUCCUGUAGAUUAAGAGUUGGUAUUUGUUUUCAUAGAGAUGUGGUUUUUACACUACAGCUUGGUUUACAUUUGAGCCUGGUAUGAUGUACAAGUUUGCUCCUUGAACAAACCCCUUAAAUCCUAAGACCGUGUGUAUAUACAAUUCUCAUUGUUCAAUAAAGACUUCAUUUUGCAGUA